GUCAUAUUCGACGGUCAGGCGAUAGCGGGGCAUCAGGCGAUCCUCGCGCCGGCAGCGAU
rnacentral:sRNA from 1 species